UUCCAGCGCAAACCAUUCUCCCGGAUUGAUUCCUUGGCUUUCCCCGCCCCUCCCCUCCCCUCCCUUCCAUAAUCCCUCCAUUUAACCCCCUCCGUUUGCUUCGCUCUGCCUGCCUCAUCCUCGUGCUUAAGCUUCUCGCCAUCAGCUGGGAGAGAUAUCUUGAGCAGAGCAGCAGGAGGAGCCACAGCUUCAGCCUUCAGGUCGCGCGUCAGAGCACCAGCAGCCGGCAAGAUGCAGAUGGUACUGAUAAUCUCGCUGCCCCUCGUGGCGCUGGUGGUGAUCAUCGCCAUCAUCCUUUGCAUCGUCUGCCGUUAACCAGCCAGCCAGCUCGCCUCGCCGGAUGUUGCGUAUCAUGUAGCCUCGUAGUAGUAGUGUUGUUGCUGCGUCUGUCUCAUACUGUCAUCGUGUAUUUUGUCUGCAGCUCUUGCUCGGUGUGAUCGCUAUCCCCUUUUCUCCUACUAGCUUCUCGACAUGAAAUGUACUAUUGAGUAUUGAUUGAUCCAUGUGUCUGUUCGUGUGUGUGCGGGUGUCAGUACAGUGCAUACUGCCGUGUAAUGUAAGCUCUUGACUUUGUCGCAAAAAAAGGAAGCUCCUGAAGAAUUCUUCAGAUAUUGGCCACGCUUCUUUCGGCAGAGUGUGAUCGCCGCGUCUGUCUUUCGUUUGCGCUCACCCCUGGUUGUCCGUCCAACCAGACGCACGCACGUGGCGCACCGUCCACCGGACGCAGACGUCUCCCUGACACCUGGGCCCGGGCGUGGCUCCGGGGUCCUCGGUUCACACUCGCGAGCCACACGUCACGCGUUUUUCCGCUUCUACUUUCUUCCUUUCUUCUCCACUCCACUCUUCUCUGCCUGAUUAGCGAUUAUUUUAGCCCACGCACCGGCACCAACACCACUUGCCCCAUCGCCGCCAAGCUCCACUGCUCCGCUCCUCCCCUCCGCCUCCCUCCCAAGCCUCUCGUCUCCGACGGAUCAAGGAAGGAGGCCAGGAGCAGCAGCAAGAUCAGCAGCUCGAUUGGGCAGGCAAGGGGCGGAUGGAGUUCGUGCUCAUCAUAUCCCUGCCGCUCCUCAUCCUGAUCCUCAUCAUCGCCGUCGUCCUCUGCAUCGUCUGCCGCUAGCCACAUGCCGACGCCAAAGCGCUCGUCUCUGCUCGGUCUGCUGUGACUGUGGUCGCACCAUAUGUUGUGUUAAUCAAUCCAAUAUUACAUCAUGACUCGGCAUAGAAAAGAAAAGAAAAAAGGCUCCUCUCCACCACCAUUUCUAUUUUUCUGUUCUGUCACUGUGGUGUGAUUAGCUGGCUAUAGCUUUACUGGCUUUCCUGAUGGCAACAAAAGCAUCGAUCCCGUGCGUCGAUGCGCAAUGCAUAUGAUAUACUUAUGUGGCUGUAAAAAAAGAGAACAAAUUCCGUUCCUGCUCUGAUUGAUUCGGGGAGGUUGAAUACCUGGAAGUGCAUCUUCUUUUUACUGUA